GACGGAAGGUGCAAGCGUUGCUCGGAAUUACUGGGCGUAAAGGGCGCGUAGGCGGCCUUCUAAGUCGGACGUGAAAUCCCCAGGCUUAACUUGGGAACUGCGUCCGAUACUGGAAGGCUCGAGUGCGGGAGAGGGAUGUGGAAUUCCAGGUGUAGCGGUGAAAUGCGUAGAUAUCUGGAGGAACACCGGUGGCGAAGGCGGCAUCCUGGACCGACACUGACGCUGAGGCGCGAAAGCCAGGGGAGCAAACGGG
rnacentral:rRNA from 1 species